CUGACUACCAGUGGGGAAGGAUCUCUUUCUGGAGAUCCCUCCUUUUGGAGUUUUCCAUCAAGCCCAGGACAAGGGAUAUGGCAAGUAAACUAUUGGAAAUCAAAGCAAGAAACAAAGAAACCUACAAACCAAGUCUUAAUACCAGUCCUGACAUAGAGCCAAACUGUAAAUGGUAUUUAGAUGUUGAAAGACCAGGUUGGAAAAAUGGGAGAAGGCCGCACUGAGAAAACUUGGAACUAAAUCUGUAGUGACUAUUAGCUGUAAACAAGCAACUGGCUCCAGUCCCGUGCUGUCAGAAGUCUGUAGUACGUUUUACCUUAGUCAGCAUAACACAGCUGCCUGGUCAAGUUCAUUAAAAAGAUAUCUAAAGCCUAAUGUAAAUGUUCUGCAUCUCACACACACAGUCUUAAAGAAUACUAAAGGAUCCUGCUGAAAUCUUGGGUGUUUAUUCUUAAAAACUGAAUGGAUGUUGAUUGCAGGAUGCUCUGUGAUGAACAGGAAAUGGCUUGGAUUAAGAACUGGCUAAAAAUUACAAUUGAUGUGUGAGGAAAAAUAACUAGUUAAGUUUUUAGUAACACCAAUGGAAACACAAUGCAGCAUUCCAGAGAACUUUGGAAGCUGCCAGAGCUUCAAGAUCCAAAAUACCAGUACCUUCUGCGGGCCUUUCCACUUGAAAGAUGGCAAAGUGGUGAAACUUGACCACAGUUUUAGAACAAAUCUGUGAGGUCUUACUACCUCACAGAAUUUCAGCACCAAAUCUGCAAUUUAAAUGUUUAAUUAAGUUUGAAAGCUAUCUGAUUUUCAUCAUUCAUCAAGCAACAGAAAUAAAAUGCAUUCUUAUCAUUUCUUUAUCAGUUAUCCAUGAGAAAAGUGGGAAGUGCCAUCCCUACAGCAAAUUACCUUGCAGAUGUGCUUGUAAUUAAAGCAUAGUAACCUCCUCUGUCUCUUUUUCAGCUCAGGACGGAGGAUGUAGCCUCUCUAAUGUGCCUCUUUCCUAACUAGAGCACAAGAACAAACAUAAUUGUUAUGUUUAGCAGUGGCUGACAGUAUUGAUGCUUGUGGCUGCACUGCAGUUAUCUUUAGAACUU